GGGCCCGCACAAGCGGAGGAGCAUGUGGCUUAAUUCGAUGCAACGCGAAGAACCUUACCCGGGUUUGACAUGUGACUGCACGUCCCGUGAAAGCGGGAUUCCUUCGAGGGUGUCACACAGGUGCUGCAUGGCUGUCGUCAGUUCGUGCCGUGAGGUGUUUGGUUAAGUCCAGCAACGAACGCAACCCCUGUGACCAGUUGCCAGCGCGUAAUGGCGGGAACUCUGGUCAGACUGCCUGUUUACGCAGGAGGAAGGUGGGGACGACGUCAAGUCAGUAUGGCCCUUACAUCCGGGGCUGCACACGUGCUACAAUGGCCGGUACAAAGGGACGCGAGACCGCGAGGUGGAGCAAACCCCCAGAGCCGGCCCCAGUUCAGAUUGCGGUCUGCAACCCGACCGCAUGAAGUCGGAUUCGCUAGUAACGGCGCAUCAGCUACGGCGCCGUGAAUACGUUCCCGGGCCUU
rnacentral:rRNA from 1 species